rnacentral:misc_RNA from 1 species
UUGCUUCAUUUCUUCCCCCCGCCAUUCAGAAGGUGCCCUGCAAUUUUUCCCAAGAAAAUGGCUUUGGAGAUCUGUGUCAAGGCAGCUGUUGGUGCUCCUGACAUUAUCGGAGGCUGUAUGCUCUCUCUUUCUUUCUUUUUAUAUAUAUUAUAUGUAUGUGAUUAUUUGUAUAGAUUUUGAUCGAACUUGGCUUCUUUUAUCUUUUGAUUUUGUGUUUUUCAAGCCCAUUCUCCCAGAGAGCUCUCUUGACUUUGGAACAGAAGAAACUUUCCUGCAAGUUGCGUCUGAUCAAUCUCAGUGACAAGCCUCAGUGGUAUCAGAAUCAGCUAAUCUUUGAGCCUAUGCAUGUUUAAUAAAAAAAUUUCCAACAUUAAAAGUAAUAAAUUGAAUUUAAAACUAGUUAAAAAUUAGAGGGGAGGUGUCGAUAAUGUAUUCAAUUUAUAGUGUUAUUGAAAUGAGAUCUAAAUAGUACUAAUUAUUUUGUAUUAAUUUUGUUAUGAACUAACUGAAUGUUUUUAAGUUUGAUAUUAUAUCCACAUCUGUAUGCAACAUAGCUUCUCAUGGGUAUUUGCAAUUACAGCUAUUGAACCACAAAAACAUUUUGCUUAGAGCUUUUGUAGGCCAGUACUUCAGAAAUAAGGAUAUACAGUGUAAAUCCACAACAAGCUCAGAAUAGAAGUUCAUCCUUAUUUAAUAGCUUUGUUAAGAGGGAGAAUUUAGAGGUUAAAGCGAAUAAUAGCUGGGACUUGACAGCAGGACUGCAAAAUAUAAGCUAGAGUGUAGCUUUGUAAGUGCAUUUUGGUUUCAGACGUCCCACAUUGAAUAAAAGAGAAGUGAGGGGUCAGUGAGGACUUUAUAAAAGGACAAGAGAAACACUGAGAUAUCUUAGGCAGCCACGUGAUGAGCACAAAGCGAACUAUUCUUUCGCCUUUUACUAAAGAAUACCGUGUGCUCGUCACAUACAGUGGCAUACUCUAAUUUUUGGAGGGCUUGCCUUCUUUGAAGGGGUCCACACCAAGACUAGUUUAAUUAUUUAUGAUAAUUAACUUAUGAUUAAAACUUUAAAGUUGGGUGUUAACAUACAAUUCAAAGAUGGAUUUCUCAUUUUAAAUUCUAUCUAAAUAGUUUUUGCGCUUAGUCGGUCGAAGAGAGUUAUAGUAGGUGAUAAAAUUUCAAAUUUUGUCACGCCUUAUGACUAGGCGUUAACAUAUAUUUAUCAAUUAUUUUUUUACUACAAAUAUGUAAUCAAGAAUUAAAUACGUAUAUA